CCGUCCACCGAAUGCCUAAGGUUUCCUGAGGAAGGCUCGUCCGCUCAGGGUUAGUCAGGACCUAAGCCGAGGCCGACAGGCGUAGGCGAUGGACAACAGGUUGAUAUUCCUGUACCACCUCUUUAUCGUUUGAGCAAUGGAGGGACGCAGAAGGAUAGAAGAAGCGUGCGAUUGGUUGUGCACGUCCAAGCAGUUAGGCUGAUAAGUAGGCAAAUCCGCUUAUCGUGAAGGCUGAGCUGUGAUGGGGAAGCUCCUUAUGGAGCGAAGUCUUUGAUUCCCCGCUGCCAAGAAAAGCUUCUAGCGAGAUAAAAGGUGCCUGUACCGCAAACCGACACAGGUAGGCGAGGAGAGAAUCCUAAGGUGUGCGAGAGAACUCUGGUUAAGGAACUCGGCAAAAUGACCCCGUAACUUCGGGAGAAGGGGUGCUUUCUUAACGGAAAGCCGCAGUGAAUAGGCCCAAGCGACUGU
rnacentral:rRNA from 1 species